UAAAGGCAUGGUCCCGACCUUAUUAUCAGCUCUUACCCAACUUACACAUGCGAGUCUCCGCAACCCCGUGAGUAUGCCCUUAAUCCCCCACCCGGGGACGAGGAGCGGGCAUCAGGCACAAAUUUUUAGCCCAAGACGCCUGGCCAAGCCACACCCCCAAGGGAAUUCAGCAGUGAUAAACAUUAAGCCAUAAGUGAAAACUUGACUCAGUCAGGGUUAAGAGGGCCGGUAAAACUCGUGCCAGCCACCGCGGUUAAACGAGAGGCCCUAGUUGAUAAAACCACGGCGUAAAGGGUGGUUAAGGAAAAUGAUAUAAUAAAGCCAAAUGGCCCUUUGGCAGUCAUACGCUUCUAGGUGUCCGAAGUCCAAUUAUACGAAAGUAGCUUUAAUAAUACCAACCUGACCCCACGAAAGCUGAGAAACAAACUGGGAUUAGAUACCCCACUAUGCUCAGCCUUAAACCUAGACAUCCAACUACAACUAGAUGUCCGCCCGGGUACUACGAGCAUUAGCUUAAAACCCAAAGGACCUGACGGUGCCUUAGACCCCCCUAGAGGAGCCUGUUCUAGAACCGAUAACCCCCGUUAAACCUCACCACUUCUAGCCAUCCCAGCCUAUAUACCGCCGUCGUCAGCUUACCCUGUGAGGGUAACAAAAGUAAGCAAAAUGGGCACAACCCAGAACGUCAGGUCGAGGUGUAGCGCACGAAGUGGGAAGAAAUGGGCUACAUUUUCUAUUAAUAGAACACUACGAACACGCAACAUGAAAUAGUGCUUGAAGGAGGAUUUAGUAGUAAAAAGGAAACAGAGUGUCCUUUUGAACUCGGCUCUGAGGCGCGUACACACCGCCCGUCACUCUCCCCUGUCAAAAUGCAACAAGGUUCUUAACACUAGAACACCGACAAGGGGAGGCAAGUCGUAACAUGGUAAGUGUACCGGAAGGUGCACUUGGAUCAAACC
rnacentral:ncRNA from 1 species